rnacentral:rRNA from 1 species
GACGAACGCUGGCGGCGUGCUUAACACAUGCAAGUCGAACGGAAAGGCCCUGCUUUUGUGGGGUGCUCGAGUGGCGAACGGGUGAGUAACACGUGAGUAACCUGCCCUUGACUUUGGGAUAACUUCAGGAAACUGGGGCUAACACCGGAUAGGAGCUCCUGCUGCAUGGUGGGGGCUGGAAAGUUUCGGCGGUUGGGGAUGGACUCGCGGCUUAUCAGCUUGUUGGUGGGGUAGUGGCUUACCAAGGCUUUGACGGGUAGCCGGCCUGAGAGGGUGACCGGCCACAUUGGGACUGAGAUACGGCCCAGACUCCUACGGGAGGCAGCAGUGGGGAAUAUUGCACAAUGGGCGGAAGCCUGAUGCAGCAACGCCGCGUGCGGGAUGACGGCCUUCGGGUUGUAAACCGCUUUCGCCUGUGACGAAGCGUGAGUGACGGUAAUGGGUAAAGAAGCACCGGCUAACUACGUG